rnacentral:rRNA from 1 species
AUGGAGCCGACCUUGAAAUACCACCCUUUAAUGUUUGAUGUUCUAACGUUGACCCGUAAUCCGGGUUGCGGACAGUGUCUGGUGGGUAGUUUGACUGGGGCGGUCUCCUCCUAAAGAGUAACGGAGGAGCACGAAGGUUGGCUAAUCCUGGUCGGACAUCAGGAGGUUAGUGCAAUGGCAUAAGCCAGCUUGACUGCGAGCGUGACGGCGCGAGCAGGUGCGAAAGCAGGUCAUAGUGAUCCGGUGGUUCUGAAUGGAAGGGCCAUCGCUCAACGGAUAAAAGGUACUCCGGGGAUAACAGGCUGAUACCGCCCAAGAGUUCAUAUCGACGGCGGUGUUUGGCACCUCGAUGUCGGCUCAUCACAUCCUGGGGCUGAAGUAGGUCCCAAGGGUAUGGCUGUUCGCCAUUUAAAGUGGUACGCGAGCUGGGUUUAGAACGUCGUGAGACAGUUCGGUCCCUAUCUGCCGUGGGCGCUGGAGAACUGAGGGGGGCUGCUCCUAGUACGAGAGGACCGGAGUGGACGCAUCACUGGUGUUCGGGUUGUCAUGCCAAUGGCACUGCCCGGUAGCUAAAUGCGGAAGAGAUAAGUGCUGAAAGCAUCUAAGCACGAAACUUGCCCCGAGAUGAGUUCUCCCUGACUCCUUGAGAGUCCUGAAGGAACGUUGAAGACGACGACGUUGAUAGGCCGGGUGUGUAAGCGC